rnacentral:rRNA from 1 species
GACGAACGCUGGCGGCGUGCUUAACACAUGCAAGUCGAACGGAAAGGCCCUGCUUUUGUGGGGUGCUCGAGUGGCGAACGGGUGAGUAACACGUGAGUAACCUGCCCUUGACUUUGGGAUAACUUCAGGAAACUGGGGCUAAUACCGGAUAGGAGCUCCUGUUGCAUGGUGGGGGUUGGAAAGUUUCGGCGGUUGGGGAUGGACUCGCGGCUUAUCAGCUUGUUGGUGGGGUAGUGGCUUACCAAGGCUUUGACGGGUAGCCGGCCUGAGAGGGUGACCGGCCACAUUGGGACUGAGGUACGGCCCAGACUCCUACGGGAGGCAGCAGUGGGGAGUAUUGCACAAUGGGCGGAAGCCUGAUGCAGCAACGCCGCGUGCGGGAUGACGGCCUUCGGGUUGUAAACCGCUUUCGCCUGUGACGAAGCGUGAGUGACGGUAAUGGGUAAAGAAGCACCGGCUAACUACGUG